UACGUAGGGUGCAAGCGUUGUCCGGAAUUAUUGGCGUAAAGAGCUCGUAGGCGGUCUGUCGCGUCUGCUGUGAAAACUCAGGGCUUAACCCUGAGCUUGCAGUGGGUACGGGCAGACUAGAGUGCGGUAGGGGAGACUGGAAUUCCGUGGUGAUAGCGGUGAAAUGCGCAGAUAUCAGGAGGAACACCGGUGGCGAAGGCGGGUCUCUGGGCCGUAACUGACGCUGGAGGAGCGAAAGCGUGGGGAGCGAACAGGAUUAGACUACCCU
rnacentral:rRNA from 1 species